UGAUCGAUGAUGACUCUUCAAAAAUAACAUUCCUUGGAAGCUGAACAAAAUGAGUUAAAACUCUAUAACCAUCAUUCUCAUCAUGUCUUUUGUCU